rnacentral:rRNA from 1 species
AGAGUUUGAUCCUGGCUCAGGACGAACGCUGGCGGCGUGCUUAACACAUGCAAGUCGAACGGUAAGGCCCUUUCGGGGGUACACGAGUGGCGAACGGGUGAGUAACACGUGAGUAACCUGCCCUCAUCUCUGGGAUAACAGUCGGAAACGGUUGCUAAUACUGGAUAUGAGCCUGCAAGGCAUCUUGUGGGUUGGAAAGAUUUUUUGGUUGGGGAUGGACUCGCGGCCUAUCAGCUUGUUGGUGAGGUAGUGGCUCACCAAGGCUUCGACGGGUAGCCGGCCUGAGAGGGCGACCGGCCACAUUGGGACUGAGAUACGGCCCAAACUCCUACGGGAGGCAGCAGUGGGGAAUAUUGCACAAUGGACGGAAGUCUGAUGCAGCAACGCCGCGUGCGGGAUGACGGCCUUCGGGUUGUAAACCGCUUUCAAUUGUGACGAAGCUUUUUGUGACGGUAGCAGUAGAAGAAGCACCGGCUAACUACGUGCCAGCAGCCGCGGUGAUACGUAGGGUGCGAGCGUUGUCCGGAUUUAUUGGGCGUAAAGAGCUUGUAGGUGGUUUGUCGCGUCGGGAGUGAAAACUCAGGGCUUAACUCUGAGCUUGCUUUCGAUACGGGCUGACUUGAGGGAGGUAGGGGAGAAUGGAAUUCCUGGUGGAGCGGUGGAAUGCGCAGAUAUCAGGAGGAACACCGGUGGCGAAGGCGGUUCUCUGGACCUUUCCUGACGCUGAGAAGCGAAAGCGUGGGGAGCGAACAGGCUUAGAUACCCUGGUAGUCCACGCUGUAAACGGUGGGUACUAGGUGUGGGGGACAUUCCACGUUCUCCGUGCCGUAGCUAACGCAUUAAGUACCCCGCCUGGGGAGUACGGCCGCAAGGCUAAAACUCAAAGGAAUUGACGGGGCCCCGCACAAGCGGCGGAGCAUGCGGAUUAAUUCGAUGCAACGCGAAGAACCUUA